UACGUAGGGUGCAAGCGUUGUCCGGAAUUAUUGGGCGUAAAGAGCUCGUAGGCGGUUUGUCGCGUCUGCUGUGAAAACUCAGGGCUUAACUCUGAGCUUGCAGUGGGUACGGGCAGACUAGAGUGCGGUAGGGGAGACUGGAAUUCCUGGUGUAGCGGUGAAAUGCGCAGAUAUCAGGAGGAACACCGGUGGCGAAGGCGGGUCUCUGGGCCGAUACUGACGCUGAGGCGCGAAAGCGUGGGGAGCAAACAGG
rnacentral:rRNA from 1 species